AUGACCGAAUACAAACAGUUUAGCUAUUCCCUCCGCAAGGCAAUCAAACAAGCUAAUAAGCGUCAGUAUAGAGACAAAGUAGAGUCGCAAUUCAACGGCUCAGACACAACAGGUAUGUGGCAGAGUCCACAGUCAAUCACGGAUUACAAAAAGAAAACCAGCCCCGUCGCGGACCAGGAUGUCUUGCUCCCAGACAGACUAAAUAACUUAUUUGCUCGCUUUGAGGACAAUACAGUGCCACUGACACGGCCCGCUACCAAAACCUGCGGACUCUCCUUCACUGCAGCCGACGUGAGUAAAACAUUUAAACGUGUUAACCCUCGCAAGGCUGCAGGCCCAGACGGCAUCCCCAGCCGCGUCCUCAGAGCAUGCGCAAACACAGCUGUGUUUACGGACAUAUUCAAUCAAUCCUUAUCCCAGUCUGCUGUCCCCACAUUCUUCAAGAGGGCCACCAUUGUUCCUGUUCCCAAGAAAGCUAAGGUAACUGAGCUAAACGACUACCGCCCCGUAGCACUCACCUCCGUCAUCAUGAAGUGCUUUGAGAGACUAGUCAAGGACCAUAUCACCUCCACCCUACCUGACACCCUAGACCCACUCGAAUUUGCUUACCGCCACAAUAGGUCCACAGACGACGCAAUCACAACCACACUGCACACUACCCUAACCCAUCUGGACAUGAGGAAUACCUAUGUGAGAAUGCUGUUCAUCGACUACAGCUCAGCAUUUAACACCAUAGUACCGUCCAAACUCAUCAUCAAGCUCGAGACCCUGGGUCUCGACCCCGCCCUGUGCAACUGGGUACUGGACUUCCUGACGGGCCGCCCCCAGGUGGGGAGGGUAGGUAACAACAUCUCCUCCCCGUUUAUCCUCAACACUGGGGCCCCACAAGGGUACGUUCUGAGCUCUCUCCUCUACUCCCUGUUCACCCACGACUGCGUGGCCAUGCACCCCUCCAACUCAAUCAUCAAGUUGGCGGACGACACUACAGUGGUAGGCUUGAUUACCAACAACGAGAUGGCCUACAGAGAGGAGGUGAGGGCCCUCGGAGUGUGGUAUCAGGAAAAUAACCUCACACUCAACGUCAACAAAACAAAGGAGAUGAUCGUGGACUUCAGGAAACAGCAGAGGGAGCACCCCCCUAUCCACAUCGACGGGACAGUAGUGGAGAGGGUAGUAAGUUUUAAGUUCCUUGGCAUACACAUCAUGGACAAACUGAAUUGGUACACCCACACAAACAGAGUUGUGAAGAAGGCGCAGCAGCGCCUCUUCAACCUCAGGAGGCUGAAGAAAUUUGGCUUGUCACCAAAAGCACUCACAAACUUCUACAGAUGUACAAUCGAGAGCAUCCUGUCGGGCUGUAUCACCGCCUGGUACGGCAACUGUUCCGCCCAAUACCGUAAGGCUCUCCAGAGGGUAGUGAGGUCUGCACAACGCAUAACCGGGGGCAAACUACCUCCCCUCUAG
rnacentral:lncRNA from 13 species